CACGUAGUUAGCCGUGGCUUUCUAAUGAGGUACCGUCAAGGUACAGACAGUUAAUCCUGUACUUGUUCUUCCCUCAUAACAGAGCUUUACGAUCCGAAAACCUUCUUCGCUCACGCGGCAUUGCACCAUCAGACUUUCGUCCAUUGUGGAUGAUUCCCUACUGCUGCCUCCCGUAGGAGUCUGGGCCGUGUCUCAGUCCCAGUGUGGCCGAUCACCCUCUCAGGUCGGCUACGCAUCGUCGCCUUGGUAAGCCGUUACCUUACCAACUAGCUAAUGCGCCGCGGGCCCAUCCCGUAGCGACAGCCGAAGCCGUCUUUCAGAAUCCUUUCAUGAGAAAGAAUUAAUCAUUCGGUAUUAGCCCCGGCUUCCCGGAGUUAUCCCCAACUACAGGGCAGGUUGCCCACGUGUUACUCACCCAUUCGCCGCUAACGUCAGAGGAGCAAGCUCCUCAUCCGUUCGCUCGACUUGCAUGUAUUAGGCAUGCCGCCAGCGUG
rnacentral:rRNA from 1 species